GAUCAUGGCUCAGAACGAACGCUGGCGGCAGGCCUAAGUCAUGCAAGUUGAACGGCUGUAGCAAUACAGCAGUAGCGGACGGGUGAGUAAUGUAUGGGAACGUAUCUUCUAGUGGGGAAUAUUCUUUGGAAACGAAGAGCAAUACCGCAUGAGUCCUACGGGAGAAAGUCGCAAGACGCUAGAUGAGCGGCCCAUAUUGGAUUAGCUAGUUGGUUAGGUAAUGGCUGACCAAGGCAACGAUCCAUAGCUGGUCUAAGAGGACGAUCAGCCACAGUUGGACUGAGACACGGCCCAGACUCCUACGGGAGGCAGCAGUCAGGAAUAUUGGACAAUGGGGGCAACCCUGAUCCAGCCAAUGCCGCGUGAGUGUUAAGGUCUUCGGAUUGUAAAGCUCUUUUGUGUGGGAAAAUGAUGAUGGUACCACAAGAAUAAGCACCGGCUAACUUCGUGCCAGCAGCAGC
rnacentral:rRNA from 1 species